UCAAAAUUAUGACGGCGCGUAGCUUAAAAUGCUUUGCGUGCUGUACAAUAUCCGGCAAAGCUAGAUGCUGUAGUAACAUGCUGUCAUAAAUCUACGAGAGUACAGAUUUAACGUGAUUCCUCUUAACGAGUUCCAGGCUUGAAAGCAUUGCGAAAUCCUGAUUUGUCAGUAUUCAUGCCUGGGCAGAGGAGGAGCUGAGUUUAGCUUUCGUUUUCAUCCGGAACUGCGAGAACCUCUCAAAUGCCUAAUGAGAGAUUCAAAAAAGAAAAUCCUAACGGGUGAAAGGUGGUCCUGUACAGGAGAGGAACGACCUUUCUGAAAGGCUGCGCUCCAACCUCAAAAUGUGUGCUGCGCCUGAGUCUCCCUCCAGACCAAUUGAGACAUUUGUUUUUAUGGAUCUAGAAGCAACAGGUUUACCACCCUCACAACCUAAAAUUGCAGAAAUGUGCCUGUUUGCUGUGACAAGACAUGCCUUAGAGCAUCCCCAAUACAGAAAUUCUUUUCCAAAACCAGUUCCUCUCUUUCCUCGUUUAGUAGAUAAGCUCUGUGUCUGUAUUAAUCCAGACAAGCCAUUCACCCCAAUAGCAAGUUCCAUUACAGGACUGACUAAUGAAGCAUUUGCCAGGAACAAAAAGCAAAGCUUUAACCUACACAUUUUGCAGAUGAUUGCUGCUUUUUUCAGCCGGCAACACCCACCAAUUUGUUUGGUAGCACACAAUGGCUGUGGUUAUGAUUUUCCUUUGCUAAAAGCUGAACUGUGCAUGCUGGGUCUCUUAGCCCUUGAAGAAAUCUACUGUGCAGACACUAUUAAAGCUAUGAAAGCCUUGGACAAUGAGAACCAGCUUCACCAAUUUGGAUACCAACCUAACCCCCCUGGUAGCAGGAAAAAAUAUGCUCUUCAUGACUUAUAUUUUAAAUUCUACAAAGUAUAUCCUCUGAACAGUCACAAUGCAGAAGGAGAUGUAAUAACACUAAUAAGUGUCUUUCAACAACGUGCCAGAGAUCUUAUGUGCUGGAUGGAUUCAAAUGCAAGGCCAUUUAACACCGUUAAAGCCAUGUACAAGGAAAAUGAGAGAGAUGCUUGCAUUUCAAAAACACCUGGGAACACUCAACCAUUCUAUCCCAAUCGCUUACAGAUGCAUUCACAGCAAAAGGUAGCAACAACCAGGUCACCCAAUCCUUUUCCAGAAGAUGAUGAUGAGCCAGCAGAUAACCAUAUUCCACUGAACAAUAGAAUGACUGAUGAACUUUUCAUAAUUCCUGAUGAAAUUAAGAUGAUUUUGGUUCUGUUUCUUGGGCUAAUAAUUGCAUGGAUUGCACUAAAAAAUCCCGUAUAAUCUAAGAAUAUACAUUGGAUUUUGUUUAUCAUAAGUCACAUGUUACCCAAACAUGUUUCUAGAUCUGGUUCCAGUAUCAUCAAGCAUUCCUCUAAAAUAGUUGUAUUGUUUGCUUUUAGCUGUGUUUUAUAAAUUUGUUAUUUUGGUGAUUCUUGCAGUUAUUCUAUUAGUAUACCAAGGGCUGUGCUUUUUGCUUUUAUUUUUUAUAAACCAUUCUGUACAACAUAAAAAGACAGAUCCUGAUUCAACCUACUUGGAGCCCUGAAGGAGGAAGUGUCAGGACCCCUCCUCUGGUCACCGCCUUGUCACGGUCCCACCUCAGGGUCCUGGUCUCUUAACAGUUCUCUCACCAGCUCUAGCAAAGAUCUCUCAAGAUCCCACUGCUAGGCAGCAGCACCAGACACUCCCUGUAAGCAAAAUUGUCUUGAGACUGUGCCUUAUUGAUAUGUUGUGUCUAGGUGCACUUACAGGCCAUAACCCCCCUGUAUCUUUGUGCCUAUAAAGAAUACAGCCCUGGGUUGCUCUGGAUACCUGAUGAUGUUACACUAUCUCUUCACCGCUGCCACCAUUGAUACUGUUUCCCAACCUUGGUAUAUGUCCUGCCCACCCUUCUGGUUUUUGUAAACCUAGCCAAGGAUCAGGCGUUCUGGUAAACCAAGAAAUAUUUAUUUAUAUACACAGAGAAUAACAAGAUUACUUAAAAGGUAUUUAUCAACAAGCGUGUGGUUUCAUAAGAUGCGUUACUCUUUGUUUCUAGUUGUCAAUAACCUGCCUCACUACCCACCUAAUCCAAUCCACCCAACAAAAGCCUCCCAAAACCAACCAAUCCCACAGAACCAACCAACCCCCUCUCAACUGUCAUCUCAUUUAUACCUUUAGACCCUCAGCCAAUCAUCAUACAACACUCAUCAAUAUUCCAACCCAUGUACCCCCCCCUCACUCAGUCUACUUACCACAUACACUCUAAUAAUGCCGCACUUACCAUAUUUACAGUAUUAUAUAUAUACAGGGACAUCACAGGAAGCUCUAUGGUUGAGGCACUGCCGCCACCUCUACCAGUCACAUUAGCAUUACUUACGAGUUAGAGCCCUCUAGUAAACACAUGUGCCCUGUUUGCACUGCAUUCAUUGCACUCAUCGCCUUUGGUGAGAACUUGGACCGUGAUACACAAGCUUAGAUUCCCCUUCCUACUACUCAUUGUCCCCCUUUGCUGUAGGGCCUAAAGUCUAUGUAAACCCCUCAUUAGGUGACCCUGUAAGAGUUCUCUAAUCUCUGUGUUCACUUUGUGAAACUGCCCUAGAUUGUUCUAACCCUAAUCAGCUUGACUCAUGCCCUUACCAGUGUGUUCCUUAUCUCCCCUUCCAUCUUUGAUACUUUCUGUUUAGUUUAGCUAGGAAUCUUUCCAGGCUUCUCUUGAUAUCUGAGGAAGCCUUGUAUUGCAUAAAGCAGAGUAGCCAACAUGUUGUCCUUCACUCAUCAUGCCUGACCAUUGGCUAUGCUGCCUAGAGCUGAUGGGAGUUGAGAGUCCAAAAACAUCUUGAAGGCAUCACAUUGCAUACCCCUGGUAUAAAGCAUUGGGGGUCUGCAGCGUUCCUCUGGCACCUAAUUCACUACCACAGGCUGCCCAAACCCUAGUGACUUGGCACCUAAGAUCAUCUACAAGCAUUUCCUCUGAAGACUCCUCCCCUUCACUCUAGAAUAUCUGCACUCGUUUUUUCUUUCCCGUUCUGUUUCUGAUUUUCUGCCUCUUAAUUUCUCAAGCAAGUUAACCACACUGUUCCUAGUUAGCACUAUUCAUAUUCCAAAUCUGUACAUGCCUCUUGUGCUUAUGACCUUUCACCAUAUUUUUUAGUAGUUCCAGCCUUUUUCUACCACCUCCUAAAGUUAACUUCAUUGUCGAUCCUAUUCUAAAGCUUUAUGUGUAGCCAGACUUUUUUUUCUGCUCUAA